UACGGAGGGUGCAAGCGUUGUCCGGAAUCAUUGGGCGUAAAGAGCGUGUAGGCGGUCCGGUAAGUCCGCUGUGAAAGUCGGGGGCUCAACCCUCGAAUGCCGGUGGAUACUGUCGGGCUAGAGUGCGGAAGAGGCGAGUGGAAUUCCUGGUGUAGCGGUGAAAUGCGCAGAUAUCAGGAGGAACACCUAUUGCGAAGGCAGCUCGCUGGGACGUAACUGACGCUGAGACGCGAAAGCGUGGGGAGCAAACAGG
rnacentral:rRNA from 1 species